rfam:Aspergillus brasiliensis CBS 101740 unplaced genomic scaffold ASPBRscaffold_2, whole genome shotgun sequence.
CCCGGGCUAGCUCAAUUGGCAGAGCGCACGUUUACCAAAUUGACGUGAGGUCACAAGUUCGAUUCUUGUGCCUGGGC